UGGCCGGUAUGCCAUAAUCUAAGACUUUGACCCGCAUCUUUAUCUAUCGCUCUUCUUCCUAUUUUUAACCUAAUUGCGCAUCUCUCUUUCUUCUUCCUCCUUUUCUCUUCUCUUCGAUUAAGGGCAAAGCUUUGGCAGAUUUCUCCAAAAUUAGUUUCUUUAUUUCAUUGAUUUGCUUUCCAAUCGUAUCAUUCAGUUAUACAAAGAGAGAAUUGUUGAGUUUUCUUCCUCUUCAGAGUUUAUAUGAUUGAAUUCUACCAAACCCUAACCCCGAAUUACUCAAAUCACACACACAAUUGUACCUAUUUCAUUAUCUUCUCCACCCAUAGUUGUUCAGAUUUAGCCGUAUAACGAACCCAAUUUUCGUUUUACCUUCUGAAACCUUACUUUAAUUUUGUUUUUUCCCUGUAAAAGUAGAAGGUGUUUAUUGGUAAUUGAUGGUGUCAUGACUCUUACAAGGUUUCAUCUGGUAUUAACAUUUAUUGAUAGCUUGAUUUAGCUAUAAUGGCUGUUUAUGGAAGUGGAUGGUCUAGUGCUCAUGCAACUUUCUACUGUGGUGUGGUGAUGUUUGUGGUACUACGGCCUGAAAAUCAAAUGGAGGUUGGUGGAAAAACAUGGCUAUGGCUCUCUCAGGAAAAUGGUCCCUGAUGGAGUCAAUAGAGUAACAUGAUCGAUGGUCCAGAGGCUGCUACGUAAUCAAAUCGGUUGAAGCUGGCUCCGUUCAGAAUGAUGCGACUGGAAUCACUUCCUGGAGGACUAUCGGUGCAGAUGUUUUGGGAUUAGAGUGGCAGGGUAAUAGUAGACCGAACUCAGUUUUAAUGUUUGAUAUGUAAGGUUGCUAGUAUUUAUCUUUCCGUUCGUAUCCAGAGAUUCAAAAUCUGAAUAAUUAAUAAAGUUGAUUUUAGAUUCA